UCAAUCAUUGUCAUCUUCUUCAUCAGUGCCGUUUCAAAACAGGUACUUCCUCUUUCUAUUCAUUUUGAUUCUGAUUUUGUGAUGACCGAAAUGACUAACAAUUUUUUUUUGUUUCGAUCGAGGUUGAAUUUUAUUUGAUACAGCUUAUCUUGAUUUUGAUGUUCAGUCAAGCUCAAUCUCAAUUCUAAUCUAUCUAAGUCAAGGUUCCAUUGGAUGCAAAUAUGGACUUUGUAUUCUCUGAGAGGGAAGAUGCUGGAACUUUUGACAACAAAGACGGUAUGGAUUAUGGAAUAUCUGUUUUUCGAGGAAUUGUGCAAGAGCCACCAAUGAACAUUGCGCAUAUUGCUGUUGACAUAGUCCCCAUUGCAAAGGUAACUUUUGGACAUUAGGGAGUUUAGGUUUUUAAAACUUUUUUUAUUGCCCUGAUAUAUAUCAAGGUUUCUUUUCUAGUUUUUCUUUGCUUACGAGUCCAUUCAGAUUCUUUCUCUUAAUGAAGAGAAAAUUCUUUAAGCUGAAAGAAGGCCCGAAAGACAUGUCUUUUCCUAAUGAAAAGUGUUUUGGAAAUGAGACAGUUGGGGGAGAGGAUGCUGAACCUCAGACAGAAAUGGAACAUCAUAGACAUCUGUGUUGUAUUAUUUCCAGUUUGUGGUCGAAUAUGUAGUAAAAACCUAAAAGAUUUUCCAUUUUCCAUCUUUUUCUCAAUUAUUUCCUUUUUAUAACUUUGCAGGUUGGAGAUCUGGGUUAUGUCGUUACAAGUCUCUCGCGUGCUCUUCAAGAUUUAAACAACAAUGUGGACAUCAUUCUUCCAAAGUGAAGGAUAUUCAUUACCAAAGAGGCUAUUCUUCGGGUGGCACUGAAGUUAAAGUUUGGUUUGGAAAAGUGGAAGGCCUUCAGUUUAUUUUCUGGAGCCAGAAAACGGGUAAUUUUCAUACUCCUAAAGCACCUUUAAGAAUUACAAUGUUUCACUUGUUAAAAAAAGAAAUUAUAAUCACAAGAAUCCUUUGGUGUAUUGUUGCUUGCAGAUUCUUUUGGACAGGUGUGUUUAUGGUUGCAGAAAAGAUGCAGAAAGGUUUGGCUUCUUUUGUCAUGCUGCUCUCGAAUUUCUACACCAAGGUGGACUUCACCCUGUAAGUUUAUGAUUCAACGAUAGUUCUGGCUUAAAAUUUAAAACCACGUCUUGGCAGUAUAUUGAGUAAAUUACCUACACUCAUGCUGUUAUUAUUUUUCCUAGCAGUUGUCAAACCCCUCUUGUUUAGCUGUUCAGCUCUAUAGGCCUUACUAUUCAUUUGUAGAAGAAUAUUGGCUAAAAUAACAAAAAACCCCCCUUACUUUACUAAUAUAAGGUGGUCCUUAUGAUUGAAGUAAUCCAGAAAUUGUAUUAUAUUGUAGGGUUCAAAUGUAUAAAAUUCAUUGGAAGCACCAUGUGCAAAUAACUAAAGAGAGAUGGAAGCUUUGAGAAUGAUGCUAUUGCAUUAUUGUUGAUAAUUCGUAUUUUGAUAACUUUUUGAUGUUUUGAUAGUUUUGAUAUUUGUAAUGGGAUUGGUAUCAGGUUGCAAUUUGCCUUUGAUGGUUACCCGAUGUCCUUAGUAGCUUGUAGACAUUGACAUUGGUACUGAAUUUUGCUGAUGUUAAUACUUAUGAAUUAUAAUAAUAUCACUUUACUGAUGAAAUUUGCAAGGUCUCUGUCUGAUUUUAACUAUGCUUGAAUACUUCAAGUGUGAUGCACAUGUCAGUUAAUUAUUAUUCUGUAAUGAGGAAAGCAAAAUUUGGGAAAUAAAUAAUCUAAAAAUGUUCUUUUGUCAGAAAUUGCAAAAGUGACUUGCAGACUUUCAUUUCUCAGACCUGAGUUCUCCAUUAAUUGGUAUGCAUUAUUUUUUAAUUUUAUUGGUUACAAAGAUUAGAAGUAUGAAAAUUAUUUAAAAACAAUAAUAAUACUUUUAAGGAUGAUUUUAAGUGUCAAUAUAACUCACUCAAUAAUAUAAACAACUUAAAUAAAAUUCGACUUUAACUAGUAUUUUAAAAUAUAUUUAAAAGUUGUUUACUUAUAACAGCAAUUUAAAGUACCCAAAAAAAUCAUAUUAGCAAGUACAUGUGUAGUUCUAGCAUUGGUGAUUUGACUGUCGAAAAGUUUUCAUUAACACUCACCUAACCGAGACAAAAACUCUUGUAACAGUAAUAUCAUCACUUUUUUAAUCUUUUACUGGCAUUUAUAAAUGUCGAUAAAAAUAACUUUUUUUGUAGUGCUUAGUUAUCUUA